rnacentral:rRNA from 1 species
GAUGAACGCUGGCGGCGUGCCUAAUACAUGCAAGUCGAGCGAACGGACGAGAAGCUUGCUUCUCUGAUGUUAGCGGCGGACGGGUGAGUAACACGUGGAUAACCUACCUAUAAGACUGGGAUAACUUCGGGAAACCGGAGCUAAUACCGGAUGAUAUUUUGAACCGCAUGGUUCAAAAGUGAAAGACGGUCUUGCUGUCACUUAUAGAUGGAUCCGCGCUGCAUUAGCUAGUUGGUAAGGUAACGGCUUACCAAGGCAACUAUGCAUAGCCGACCUGAGAGGGUGGUCGGCCACCCUGGAACUGAGCCACGGUCCAGACUCCUACGGGAGGCAGCAGUAGGGAAUCUUCCGCAAUGGGCGAAAGCCUGACGGAGCAACGCCGCGUGAGUGAUGAAGGUCUUCGGAUCGUAAAACUCUGUUAUUAGGGAAGAACAUAUGUGUAAGUAACUGUGCACAUCUUGACGGUACCUAAUCAGAAAGCCACGGCUAACUACGUG